AAUAAGAUAUUAUUGGGAUAUACACAAGUCAUUUUCCUGUAGUCCUAUAUAUAUGGUUUUUGUUUUAAGAGAUAGGUAGCAUGCUAUUCGUUUCGUUUAUUUCAUUUAGAAAUAAACUUAGUUAGAAAUGUGAAUCAACCAGAAUUCGAACUUGGGACCUCGAGUACCAACCACCAAGUCUUUUGCCACUUGUGCUAGGGACAGUCGGUCUAUAUAUAUGUUGAUUGUGGAUCAAGCCCAUAGUUUAUGUUGAUUGUGGAGUCCAUAGUUUACGUUGGGGUACGUAGUUGAAUUUCUUAUUUCAAACAAUUAACAUCGUAGAUUUUUCAACUAUGAAAAGGCAAGGAAAAAAAAAUAUUAUAAUUGAAUAAGAAGGCAGGGCAUAGAAGAAAAUAUACCUGUGUGAGAAAAGUAAUGUUGUGAUAUCUAUUAACACUUUUACAGACAUUAAGAUAUACUUAAAAAAUUAAUAAUACCAUGCGGCCUACUGAAAAUAAUAUUAAAAAAGUUAUUUUUUACUAGAGAAUAAUAGUUGUUUCAUAUUAUUUUAGUAUGAUAUACCAGAAGGUCCUAAAUUCUAGUUUUGACAGGCUCUUAUUUUUUGUUAAUUUUCUCCUAUUUUUCUGUAAGUCAAAUUCCGCCAGAUUCCUAAUUAAUAACCGAUAUGCCACAUGUUUCCGCGUGAAUACUGCUUCAAGCAAGAUACCAUGAGGAGAAGCAUAGGAGCUUGUUUGGAAGGAAAAAAAAAAAGAGAAAAGAGAUAAGCGCUAAAUGCAUUAAAUGUGAAAAGUCCCUUUAAAAGUAAAAGCGCCUGAGUAUUUUGCACUUCGUUUUCAAUGAUGAAGCAUUCGAGCUACGUUCCAACUAACAGCAUUAAAUAUGAUCCAAGAUAUUUAAAAUUUUAUAUGAUUUCACGUAGAUCUUUGUCUUGAUAAUCUCGAGAUUCUCUCAGUAAUUCCAUAUUUAUUUGUCUUGGUAGUGGCUCUCUGUACAUAUCAUUUUAAUUAUUAUCCUACGGUUGGUGCAUUUGAGGGAUAGUUAUGAAUGGCAAGUUUGCAGGAAGUUAUAUUAACUUGACCCUCUACCCAAUUUCAGAGUAUUUAUUCCACUUGUAGCACCUUCUUUUGGGUAAAUUACAUUGGAGGUCCCUGUGAUGCUCCGAGUCCAUAAAUUGGGUCCGCUCGAGCACGUACAACAGACCCGCCGAAUGAGUAAAGUUUUUCUUAUUUAUACAAAGUGGAACAUAUACCAAUCUGUACAAGGCAUAAAAGAUAUGGAUACAAGAAGAAUCAGAGUGGGUUUAAUUGUAAAUAGGCCGUGUUGGUUGCCUCGGGCAGUGUGAACUGACUAUGCUGGCCCUCCGGACUAAUUGUCCUAGGUUCGAUGACUCUUGUGGAACUUGAAUAAGUUUUCGAUGCGAUUAUCGACAAACUUGACUGAUCGAUCACGGUUCGGUUCAAGAUUCAUAAUAAACCAAUAUGAAUGCCCUUUUUCUGUUGUCAAGGUUUCUAAGUUGGGUGCCCUCACUAUCUUGUGCUUCCAAAGGCAGUGGGAGGAUUGCAGUGGGUUUGAAGCCGAAUCAGCACUUCUAGCAGACCCAUUGUAGCGUAGUUUUGCUAAACGCACUAUUUAGCGUCAUUAUUGCAUACUGCUACCUGGACACCCAAAUUGGUAUAUUUCGAGACAGCUAGCAAGUAGUUUAUGGUAAUGGUUGAUACCCUCUGGGACACUUCGUAAGCUAUAGAAGUGUUUUCGAUGAGUUUCCGAGAAUUUCGACAGAUUUUGAGAAUCGAUAAAAGGAACCGAUUGCCCGAAGGUAUUUGGGAAGUGAGUUAAAUGACUUUUGGGUCACUUAGGUUAGGGUUAGACUAGAGUUAUGGAGUGGUUUGUAACUCCGUGGGAUCUUUCAUAGGUCCGAGUAAUGUUUAGGAGUAUCAGCAAAGUCAUAGGUGUUUCGCCUACUUUGAGGUAGGUGCUUCAUUCUGAAGUUAUUAAAGUGGUGUCUGCUCGGUGAUUUCUUCCCUUGUCAUCUCCUUUCGAUUACAUGAUACAUUUUGAGCACUUCGUACACCAGUUUGUAGCUUAUUUGCUCUACACUUGCUUUUAUCUCGUAUUUAUCAUGAUUUAGUUAUAGAGCGGCAUUCUAUUGUGUUGGAUAUUAUUGCAUGAUUAUAUAUGGUAGAUGACCUAUUAUAUGGUUGACCUGAUUGGUCAGUGACAUAGUGAUAUCUUUGAGAUAUAGUUGACCUGAUUGGUCAGUGACUUGCUGUUGAUCUCUCUUUCUUAGCUAUCUGCCGAUGGUUGGCUAUUAAGCAUAUAAUAUCGAUCGCCUCACCUCAUGACAUUAGCGGUUUUGUCACGCCGCGAGCCUGCCACUUUGGCCGAAUUCGGGCACGCCAACAGACUGCCAAACGGACAGGGUUUCCCCUGUACCGCGGACAGAAUCUCCCCUGUACGUCCAAGGCGUCACAAUCCAAACAAUGUGCAAGGUUCCAACCAGGAACAGUAUACAACAAAGAUUGCAUAAGGAAGGUAUCGAAACAUAAAUACAACUAAAUUAUUACAAUCAUUAAUCUCACAUAUUACAUUACAUUUUCAUUCUCUUUUUAGCUUCCAAAUACAAUCCGAUUUAACAUAGUUAUUACAACUUUAUUUUUUUCAUCACUAAACCCCUAAGUAGCCGACUCAGGAUACUGCUAUUUCUGGUCUCAAUGGUAGGGCGCUAUCUACGGAGCUAUGCCCUUUCCUCGCGCAGCCGCGCCGAUCACGUGUGAACCAGUACCCCCAAAAACAACACGAGGGUGAGAACUAUUGUCCAUAGUUCCUAGCGGGUACGACCACCCAAGAAAAAAACUCAACCCACCAGGUCUAAAGGAGGCACUGCAAACAUGUUAGUCCAACAAAUAUCCACAGAUAUAUAAUGUAUGCAACUAACAAUUAUCAUGUUCAUGCCUCACAAUAUGCAAUAUGCAAAUCAUGCAACUCAUACAAGUAGAUUAAUUGGUUCUACUCUCUAUCAUUUGCCAUUCGUUAUAUUGUUAGCAAUUCUUAAUCACUUGUCAUUUUUUACUACUUGCAAUUCUUUAUUCUUUGACAUUCUUUAUUAUUAGCCACUCUUUAUCGCUAGCCGUUCUCUAACGCUAGCUAUUUCUUAUUACUAGCCGUUCUUGAUUCUUAGCCAUUCUUUAUUAUUGCUAUACUUUAGCAUUAGCCGUUUUUUAUUCUUUAUUCGUUAUUCAUUACUAAGGGUACUCACAGCUUAGCCAUAUUAUACACAUUUGCCAUUCUUUCCUAAGGUUACUUUACCUUAGCCAAUUAUGCCACUCGACUCGGUCUUGAGUCAAUCAACUGCGGAUAAUCCGCGCUCUGUCCGGCUCGAGGUGAAGGAACUCUCACAUACACCUCAGCCUUCAAUCCACAAACCACAUCGCCCAACGAGUCGCCCAGUGCUGCGUACACCUGUUGUCAGGGAUCUCCCGGUGGGAGAGGAACAUACCGCAUACACCCGCAGCCGAGACCCCCGAUAGGGAGAGGAACAUGCCACAUACACCCUAGCGCUCAAUCUCAAUCCUCGAAGUUCUUCAGGUGGGAAAAGAACAUGCCAGAUACACCGGCGGCCAAGAAAUAUCGAGCUCAUAUACUGCACUAGCAGCCACUGCACUCGCAGCCGAGAUUCCGAAAUCCACUUUCACAACUCUAGGGUUGGCCUCACCCUAUAGUAUCGGCCUAUCUAGGUCCAAGCAUUUACUCAACCUAAGUUUAAUACAUUAGGUUCGUUGCCACUAUACUCAUAGCCUAGGUUCAUUAACACUAGGUUCCAUAUUCUUACUACCUAGGUUCAUUUGGCUCUAGGUUCAAUGUCACUAUAUUCAUAACCUAGGUUUACUUGACUCUAGGUUCAAUUCUUAACCUAUGUUUAAUACAUUAGGUUUUAUUGCCACUCGUGUUCUUGUUUUCGUAGUUGUCCACACCUAGAAAUUAUACUUGACAUCCACUCAUGAAUCACCUAUGUUCAAUGACACUAGGUUUUAUUGCUACUCUUGUCCUUAUUAUUUAUACUUAGGAUUCUUAGUUUACAAGCUAUACUUGUCGAGUUCUUUACUCUACUUAGAGUUCAUCGAUCUAAGUUCUCAUUCUCCAAGGAUGGUCCAUACACAACAGUACUUGCAUUCAUGUAGCAUUUAGUUUAUGCACUAACUUAGUAUAUACUCUAUGCAUUCAUUUACACUUUUCGCAUGCAUUUAUUAAUAGCAUCUUAAUCAUGCAUUUAUAUAAUAUCUAUGUCAUUCAUGUUAUUUAGCAUCUAGCUCAUGUAUUUUGCUAACAUGUCUCAUGCAUUCAUUUGCACCUAUCACAUGCAUUCUUUAGCCUCCACUUCAUGCACUUAUGUAUCUUCUCAUGGUAGGUAAUAACAUCAAGCAUUAUAUGAUUUAUGUACUACAUAUUAUCACAUACAACCUACCAACUACACAUGCAUCAACAAUAUUCACACUUCACUUUGGCAUGAAAGUGAGCUAAACAUUUCGGUGAGCACAACCCACCUCAAAUUGCUUUUCGAUUGCUUGUAGUCACUUGCAAUCAGCCUCCCGCAGCACACGUUGCCCGGUUCGGCCCGAACUCACACUCGACCACCAAACGACCACCAAUCUACAAUUCGAAAAUUUAAUGUCUAUAACUUGAUGCCACGAUGCUCCGGAUCCGUUCUUGUGAUUUUUGGACGUCGCCUCGGCCCUCCAGGCGGAAACGAAGCCAAAACGUCUGUUUCUUCAAUAUCUUCAGGUAGGCUCGACGAAUCGCCGAACCGACUUCGCCAACGCUUCGGAAAUACCUUCAAUUAGGUUUAUUUAGGGUCAAUUUACAUUUAGACCCAUCUAUGACAAAAGCCCCAAUUUUGAUGCCCUAACAAUGUCAUUUGGCCAAUAUACAAUUUUGAUCUCUAAAACAAGCAAAUGCAAGCUUGUUGAACCUCUAGGAAUCCAUCUAGAACCAUUUAAAUCAUUCUUAGGAUGUUUAGAACAAACACUAGAAAUCCACCAUGAGAGCACUAUGAAGAAAAUAUGGUUUUCAUGUGUUCCAUGGCCACUACUAGGUUUCCUCUCAUGUAAGAAGAAGAUCAAAACCAAGUGUUCUAGGGUAUAAAACUAAACCCUAAGAUCAAUCUUAGAAGAAACCUCAUCUUAGCCUAUGGACUCCACAAGCUCCACCUUGUAGGAGAGCUUUAGAUCUUCCAAUCUCCAAAAUCUCCUCCAAAUCCUCCUCUUGAUUUCCUCCUUUCCACCUUGGAGGAGAGUUUCUAGAGAGAGAGAGAGGGAGAAAAUGGGAGAGGAGAUGAGUUCUCAGCUGGGAAUAAGAGAAAAGAGGGGUUGGGGGCUUAUAUAGGCUGUUACAUUUGCAAAUAAGUCCUCCUUCUUUUCACAUUUGCAGCAGACCAACCUGCUGUUUUCGCAGCAUUGUGUACCGGUACACAUAAGGGGUGUCACCGGUAACACGAUCUCGCAGAACCAAACCCGAGAGCAGCUUCUCGGGUUUUUACACUGUGUACUGGUACCUUUUUAAUCUGUCACCGGUUAACAGUCUUUUUAGGACUUAGCCAAUUUUUUCAGCUUUUCUUCGUUUUCGCUCGUUUUCGCUCGUUAGGCCUCCGAUUCAUCUCAAAUGGCACCGAGACCCCCGAAACAAGUUUUCGAGCGUGUUUCAACCAUCUUUUCAUCCAUGCUUAUGUCUGAUUUUGUCCAUGGUCCCACAUAGCUUUUCGGGCUCCGUUUUCACGCCCAACGCACACCGAAACACCCGAAUGCUCCCGAACUUCAAUCUCGUAUUGUUUUGACUCCAAUUUGCGCUGAGCAAUGCUAAAACCUUUCCAACUCCCUUGGAACUCAACUUUAACCUUUCCAAUAUUGUUGGAAUGUUAAAUAGACUUUGUCUAACUAUUCCUUUCGCACACUUUAGUUAAUUUGACUAACGUUCGAUAUUCUCUACCGAGUUUCGGUAUGUUACAGGUUUGGUCACUGCAAUGGUGUUCUUUUUUGAAAAAGUGAUCAUAUUUUCAUCCCGUAAGCCCUAUGCAGGUUAUUUGCUAGGGUUAUAUACCGAUAGGUGAGCAGAUUAGGGCAUUGUCUGAGGUCAUUAAACCAACAUGGCGGUUUGAUUAUGUAUAUUUAGACUGUUCAUCCGGUUGAUGUGUAUUUGCAUUUAAUAUUACAGUAGUAAUUAGUUCUAUAUCUGUUGAUUUGUUUCCUUUCAGCUCGUUAUUGCUAUUGUCUUUGUUAUACCUAUUCAUAUAAGUUGAUUACUAUCUCUUAUUUGCCGGUGAGUAUAGCUUGCCUUUGUCGGCUUGCGUUACCCACUGGAAAACAUGUAAACAUGUUUCUGACCCCCUGUUUGUACAGGCGACAUGUGAGAUGAGGGUUGAGAUGGUGCGUGAGAUUGGCACUAGAUAGUUGUGUCCCAAAUCUAAUCGCCGAUGACUUUUAUUUCCUAUAUUCCUUUCAAUUUACUAUCAGUUCAGUAUGGUUAGUUCAUUGGUUUAGAUUCAUUUUGGUUUAGUUUUAGUUCAUUAUGUAUUUAUUAAUAAUGAUGAAAUAAUUGUGGUUUAUUUAUCCGGUCAAUUACUUGUCAUAUGGAUUAUCGUUGGAUGAUUAGCUUUAUUCUGUUAUUACUCUACAAUAGAUGUUUAGUUAUACACAUUCUGUACCAAUCUGCUAGUUGUUUGUAUUGUAUUCUGUGUAGUUGUAUGUGUGGUUGAUGUUGUAUUGCAGGUGCUACAUCGUGAAUGUAUAGGAAAAAUUCUGUCCAUUUGUACAGAGGACCUUUUGUCUAUGUUGCGAGUCUACACAUGUUUUAGGGUGGUGCCUUUGGUGAUCGUUUUUAAAAAGUUUACACAUUUUUCGCUGAUUUCCGUAAAAAGGAUUUUACAAAAAAAACCCCGGGGUGUGAUAGGUGAUCCUUGAUAUUCUUAGAACUUCAAGAAAAUCCUAAAAAGGAGUUUUAACCGAGUUAGAACCCUCAAAUCUCACAUUUGAGAAAACUCCAAAAAAAACCCUAAAAACACCAAUUCACAUCUUCUCUUCUAACAAGAGAAACGUGGGUGAAGUAGACCUCUUCUCCCUUUUAGAACUUCCUUUUGAAGCCUUUUAUCUUCUGGAAGCCUCCAACCAAGUGGAUCUUCAAGAUCCAACGAUAGGGAUUUUAGGACACUGUUGCUUGAGGAAGAGAGGAGAAAGAGAGAGAGGUUGGAAGGGGGAAAUAGGUUGGAAAAUUAGGGUUUGUUGUGAAAACCCUAUUUAUAGAGGUGCUAUAAUAGCACAAAAUUUCUCAACCUUUCAAAUUGCAACCAGACAAAUCAAUGCUUUUAUGCUAGGUUUGGGUCCCUCGCCCGAACUUUUGUGUGCCCGAAUCUGUCGUAGUUGUGUCCGGUCCAGAAUCUGGAUGCCCACUCAACCUGCCUGAUUCACGAAUUGUACGCCCGCAGGAGAAAUCGGGCGUUUGAUUCCAUAAUUCUUCACGCGAACUUGCACUCUUGGGUUGAGCAUCCAAAAAUCAUUCGGGCGCCCACAAGGGAUCGCCGAAAAGUUGUUUUGGACGCCUACAGGGCAUUUCGGACGCUUGAAAACAAAGUCUUUCGCAUUCCAGUGCUCAGGUUGGGAGUCCGGAGGGGUUUCGAGCGCUCUCGAGUGAGAUUCGAAAUGAUUUGAGUGCCCACUGGGCAAUCUGUGUGCCUAAAAUUGGGCCUCCCACCAACUCUGCUCUCUGGAAAAGCGUCUACUCAUUCCGAGCACUGCAUCAAGCUGUUCAAAACUAUUUCAAGUGCCCAAAUCUCUGCUCCAGGCAUUCAAAAGGAUUGGUACUCAAUUUUCUUCUAUUUCGGAACUCUGUUUCGAUACUAAUUGAUUCCAAUACAAUCCAAACUCAGUCUAGAUUCCUUUAAGGCCACUUUAUUCAUGUCUAACAUAACUCAAUUAACACUUUGUCAUUUUAGCCAAAGUUUGGUGCAUCAGGAAAAGAGAUGUGAGAAGGGGUUGGCUAUCAAAAAGUUAUUUAUAGGUGUGCUAUAUUUGCACAUGAACCCUCCAAUUAAUCAUAUUUAAUUUAGGAUUUGCUAUAGAUAAAGGUCAAUCCUAACAGAUUUAGAACUACUUGAUAUGGUAUAUUUUAUCCCUAUCCCAUCUAUUUCAGAUUUAAAUAGAAUCCUAAUCAGAUUUUCAUGGGAAGUCGAUCUGGACUCUAUAUAAAGGUGUAUUAGUUCUGGCAUCUUCUCAUACGCAUUCUGGUGAAGAAUUACCGUCGGUUCCACACCAUACGGUAGAGUGCCUGAGAUAGGAGGAGAAACCAAAUCACCCAAGUUCGGUUCGUGACUUUCAAAUCAUAGCCUGACUUCACGUUUCCGCAAGUUGAUCAGGAAUUUCUUCUCGAUGGCGCUCUGUGAGUUAUCUUAUAUUCUUGUUUUGAUCCUGGAUUUUGGUAUGUAUUUAUUUCUCUAUUUAUUUUACAUACCUUAAAUUUCUAUCAAUUUGGUAUCAGAGACAUGUUCAAAAAUUAAUACUUUUUGCGCAAUAUUUAAUUGCAUAGAAAAUUAUUAAUAUGCCUAACGUGCAUAUCAUAGUUUAUAUUCAUCUCCCAUAACUAUGGAAUUAUUCAUCGUCGUGGACAUGCAUAAAAUUUAAUUGUUUAAUCUCGCGGUGGCCGCAUGCUCCGGCCACCUGUUUAAUUGUUGAUCUCACGGUGGCGGCAUACUUUGGCCGCGUGUUCGCAUGUAUAAAGUUUAAUUGCUACGUGCAUCGUCCGAAAGAUUGACGCCGAUGAAUAGUAUAAAUUUUGUUAUGAUUCGGUUGUAGUUCAUAGACUAAUUAAUUAAUACCAACUUUAUUUUGCAUGUGCGUUUUACUCCUAUAUUUGGCUCGCAUCAAGUUAUAAUCUGAUAUGGCCGUAUGAACCAUGACGAUGGUGGAAUUCUCAGCCUACAUGUUUUUUGUGGGCACGGAAACUUUUGCGUAUGAGCGUAUGACUCAUGUUGAGAAUAAUCAGUUUGCCACGUCACAUGUCAUGGCCAGGAUAAUUUUGUUGUGCGUACGGCUUUUCUUCUUGAUGCGUGCUAAUUAUAUAUUAAUUAUUUGUUAAUUAAUGAUGUUUCGAUUCAUAAAGACAUUAUGUUUUAUAAUGUGAUGUGGAUAUGUAGAAUUUGUUCACAUAAGAUUUUAAUCUCGCAUUAGUUUAUUUUAUAUCUGUGGUCAAAUUAGAAUAUAUAAAGUUUAAAUUUGAUUGCGAUUUUAUAUUUUAAAUUAUCGCAUUUAUAUUCAUAUUUUGACUAGAUGAACAUGAAAUUUAAAUAAUCAUAAUUAUUUUCGAUUAUUUAAUAUUUGGCACUAAGUUAAAUUAAUUUAUUUUUUUGAUUGGUUAGGUGCAAGCCAAAGUGGCCCUAAUUAAAAGAAAUAAUGAUUUCAUUUACUUUAAAGUAGCGUUUCCGGAUAAUUUUUAUGUUAAUUAUGCAGCACUAAGUCAGAUUAAUUUAUUGCUUCGACUGUUCGGGUGCAGGCCAAAGCGGCCCCGACCGGAAGAAAAGAUAAAUUAAUUACUUUAAAGAAGUGCAUGCGAAAAUUGCACCCUGAUAUUAUGUUUAGUCUGCUUCCAAAGGAGGUCUAGACAUGAAGGUAAAUGGGUGGUAUAGGAUGGUAAUUUUCUUGUAACUCGUUUGGAGAAAUUUGUCUGGCCAACGCUGACAAUUUCUUCAUGUGGAAAAUUUGAAAUUAUCACGACCUACAGAAAGUUUAAAUUAAUCUCUGAUAAACAGAUUGCAUAUUUAUGCUCAUAACUCUGCUCCCAAAGGAGGGGUUGUGAUGUCAUAUAAAGUAUAUGCGUAAGGAAUGAUUGCAUAUUUAUGCUCAUAACUCUGCUCCCAAAGAAGGGCUUGUGAUGUCAUAUAUAGCAUAUGCAUAAAGAACGAAAAAAUACUUAUGUUCAUAACUCUGCUCCCAAAGGAGGGGUUGUGAUGUCAUAUAAAGUGUAUUUGUUUAAUUUUGGUGUGGUAAUUUAUUAUGUGGUAUUUUAUUAAUAAAGCAUGCAUUUUAUUUUUCAGCUAUGACUCCAUUUUCUGUUCCUAUUGGUGAAUCUGUUCCUAUACUUAAUGGUUCUAAUUAUUCAGAGUGGAAAGAACAGAUCAUAUUUAUUUUGGGCUAUAUGGAUUUAAAUUUGGCUCUGUGUGCUGAGCAACCGCCUAAGAUAGUGAGGCCAAUGACUCCACAGCAGGAAUCCGUACAGGAAAAGUGGGAGUGAUCCAACCGCUUAAGUUUGAUGCUCAUAAAGUCAAGGAUAUCAAAAAGCAUAAGGGGAUCAAUCCCAGAAUGUGAUAAAGCCAAGGAUUAUCUAAAGGCCGUUGAGGAGCAGUUUGUCAGCUCCGAUAAAGCCUUUGCGAGCACCUUAAUGAAUAAACUGUCUUCCAUGAAAUACUCCGGAAAUGGCUCGAUUCGCGAGCAUAUUAUGGAAAUGCGAGAUAUUGCAGUGCAACUCACCGCACUUGAAGUAACUGUGACGCCCCGACUUCCCAGGGGGUCACCCAUCCUAGGACUACUCCCGUCCUAGCACGCUUAACUCUCUUAACCUCUUGGGCCUUACCACCACCCAAAAUGCUUAAGCCGGAUUAAGAGUUUAGCCCUAUUAUAUCUCAUAUAUAGGACUAUCUGGGGUCUCACAGUAACCAUCUCUGAUUCAUUCUUAGUGCACUUUAUUUUGAACUCUUUGCCAUCUGAAUACGAACCAUUUCAGAUAUCUUAUAACACACAUAAAGAUAAAUGGUCAAUUAAUAAAUUGCUGACCAUGUGUGUGCAAGAGGAAGGCGGAUUAAUACAAGAGAAACAAAAUACAGCCAACUUUGUUUCUCAAAGAGAUAAAUAAAGCGUGCGAAGAAUGGCAAGGGCAAGAAUGACUCAAAAAGAAAGAACAAGAAAGUUCCAUCUGGUUCACAAGGCCAAUCAAGUAAUUGGACUCUCAAGUGCUUCUUUUGUAAGAAAAAGGGUCAUAUAAAGAAUGACUGCCAAAAGUAUCAAAAAUGGCUCCAGAAGAAAGGUAAAUUUCUGGUUUUGAUGCAUGAGUUGCAUUUAGUUUCAGUUCCAUCAAUACUUGGUGGAUUGACUCUGGUGCCACAUGCCACGUGGCAAAUUCCGUGCAAGGAUUUCAGAAUCGCAGAAAAUCCAGUAAAGAUGAAGCGACUAUCUAUACAGCUGAAGGAAAUCCAACUAAAGUAGAAUUUGUAGGAACAUUUAGAUUAGUUCUUUCUACUGGUUACAUUUUGGAUUUAGUUGAUACAUUUUAUGUUCCAAAUUUUUCUAAGAAUUUAAUUUCUAUUUCGAAACUUGUUGGAUUGGGAUAUAGUUUCAGUUUUAAUAAUAAAGUUUUUUCUUUAUCCUAUAAAUCUCAGAUAGUUGGCUCUGGUGUUUUGGAAAAUAAUCUAUAUAAAAUAUUUUUGGAUGAUUCAUAUAGUGAAAUCUUUCUUACCAUGCACAGAAAUGUUGGAUCAAAAACGUGGCAUUAACAAUGAAAGGUCAUCCAUGUUAUGGCACAAGAGGUUAGGACAUAUCUCGAAACAGAGAAUCCAAAGGUUAAUUAGAGAAGACAUUUUAGAUGAUUUGGACUUCUCUGACUUUGAAAUAUGUGUGGACUGCAUAAAGGGAAAGCAGACCAAAACUUCCUCUAAAGGUACUAAAAGAUGUGAUGGAACAUUAGAGUUGAUUCAUACCGAUAUAUGCGGACCUCCUUUUGUUUCAAUUACUGGCCAUAAAUAUUUUAUCACAUUCACUGAUGACUACUCUCGAUAUGGCUAUCUCUACUUGCUUAAAGAAAAAUCUGAAGCAUUAAAUGCCUUUAAGGCAUAUAAGACUAAAGUAGAGAAUCAACACGAGAAAAGGAUAAAAGUAGUCAGAUCAGAUAGGGGUGGUGAAUAUUUUGGUAGACAAACAGAUAAAGGCCAAAUCCCUGGGCCUUUUGCUAAAUUUCUAGAGCAGUGCGGAAUUGUUCCACAGUACACCAUGCCAGGAACACCUGACCAGAAUGGUGUUGCUGAAAGAAGAAACCGCACAUUAAUUGAUAUACUCAAGAGUAUGAUUAGUAAUUCUACCCUUCCGAUAUCAUUGUGGAGUGAGGCACUCAAAAUAGCCCUGUAUAUUCUUAAUUGGAUCCCUACUAAGGCUGUCACUAAGACUCCUUUUGAGUUUUGGAUAGGUAGGAAACCCAGUUUAAGACAUUUUCAUACUUGGGGUUGUCAAGCUGAGGCCAAAUUAUAUGAUCCACAAAUAAAGAAAUUGGAUCCUAGAACCAUAUCAGGAUAUUUUAUUGGCUAUUCAGAAAGAUCCAAGGGGUAUAAGUUUUACUGUCCAUCACUUUCUAUAAAGAUUGCAGAAACUAAAAUAACACGGUUUAUUGAGGAUGGUGCAAUUAGUGGGAGCUUUGAACCUUGGUUCAAUGAGUUUGAGGAAAUUCAAGAACAUUCGGAUUCUGUACAUGAUAGACCCACUAUUGUCCCUCUCGAUUUGAUGGUUCCUAUUCCAGUAGAACAACAAAUCGUUUUGGAACCACAAAAUCAUUGUGAACCUAUCAUUGAUAAUUCACAUCAAUAUGUACAAAUGGAAAAUUCACAUCAAAUGUACAAGUGAAUAAUCCAUAUCAAGAUGUACAUGUGGAUAAUCAUAUAGAUUUAAGAAGAUCCUCAAGACAGAGAAGACCGGCUAUAUCCAGUGAUUAUAUCGUCUAUCUUUAUAAGAAUGGCCAGAGUUUAGAUGAUCCUCUUAAUUUUUCCGAAGCCAUAAAUAGUAAUAAUUCUACGGAAUGGUACAAUGCCAUGAAGGAUGAGAUAGAAUCCAUGAACCACAAUAAGGUGUGGGAUCUUAUUGAGUUACCUAUAGGAGUUAAACCCAUAGGAUGCAAAUGGGUUUAUAAAAUCAGAUGGGACUACAAAGGUAACAUAGAGAGAUACAAAACCCGUCUUGUGGCAAAAGGAUUUACUCAGAAAGAAGGUAUUGACUAUAAAGAGACUUUUUCUCCACUAUCUAGAAAGGAAUCUUUCCGUAUUAUUAUGGCUCUGGUUGCUCAUUUUGAUCUCGAGCUAUAUCAGAUGGAUGUCAAAACUGCUUUUUAAAUGGGGAUCUCUAUGAAGAGGUGUAUAUGUAUCAACCUGAAGGAUUCUCGCAAAAGGGAAAGGAGCACUUGGUAUGCAAAUUAAAGAAAUCAAUAUAUGGACUAAAGCAGGCCUCCCGACAAUGGUAUUUAAAUUUAAACAAACUAUUUUAACUUUUGGUUUUAAGAAAAACAUUGUUGAUCAAUGUAUUUAUUUAAAAGUUAGUGGGAGUAAAAUAAUUGUCUUUAGUCAUUUAUGUUGAUGAUAUUUUGCUUGCCAGUAAUGAUCUUGGGCUAUUGCAUAACACUAAAGAAUUUCUUUUCCAAAAUUUUAAAAUGAAAGAUUUAGGUGAGGCCUCAUAUGUUCUUGGUAUUGAAAUCAAAAGGGAAAGACAUAAAGGUUUACUCAGUCUAUCUCAAAAGGCCUACAUAAAGAAAGUUUUGAAAAAUUUUGAAAUGCAUAAUUGUAAGCCCAGUGUUGCUCCUGUCCAGAAAGGGGAUAAGCUUAAUUCUUUUCAGUGUCCCAAGAACCAAUUAGAAAUUGAACAGAUAAAAAACAUAUCCUAUGCCUCUACAGUUGGUAGUCUUGUGUAUGCACAAUUGUGCACACGUCCGGAUAUUGCUUUUGCCAUUGGAUUAUUUGGCAGAUAUCAAAGUAAUCCAGAUAUGAAGCAUUGGAAGGCUACUAAGAAGGUUGUGAGGUAUUUGAAGGAAAUUUUGGAUCAUAUUGCAUGUUACGAUACCACAUCACAGGCUUUUUGGCUUAGGAGUUUUAUCACAGACUUAAGAAUUGUGGACUCCGGUGUUUAUCCAAUAAAGAUUUUCUGUGAUAGUUCAGCUGCGAUUUCCUUUGCAAAUAACAACAAGAUUACAGUGGGGUGUAAACACUUGGACACUAAAUUUCUUGUUGUGAGAGAGAAGAUAGAUGAAGGUUAUAUUACAAUUAAAUACAUCAGUACCAAGUGAAUGAUUGCAGACCCAAUGACCAAGGGGUUGGCACCUGGGUCAUAUACGGAUCAUGUUAGAAAUAUGGGCUUGAUUAGUUCUUUCGAUGUAUAAAAUUGUAAUACUUAUUUUCUUUCAAUAAAGUUAAAGUUUAAUGCAGCUGUGUUGGACCAUUUAAUAGAUGUAAAAUUUCGUCUAUUAACGAAUGAAUAUACAGUUUAAGUUCAUUCAUAAAGUUGUGUCAUAUAAAGUACUCGGCUAGAAGGUGAAGAUGAUACGGUAAUUAUGGAAGAAAAUUUUCGUUAUGAAGAGGUGGACCGCCAUAGUUCCUAUCAUUGUAGUCUUUUAGUUUGAGCUAAAGAUCAAGCGAGUUCUAAGGUAUUUGACCAUAAAGUUUCCAAUAAUGCGCAAUAGAGAUUGGAGUAUAGAAAAUCGGUUAAUGGAAUAUGAUUAAUAUGAGCUAAGUGGGAGAUUGUUAGGAUUUCUAUAUAUUGUGGCCCAAUUAAUCAUAUUUAAUUCAGGAUUUGCUAUAGAUAAAGGUCAAUCCUAACAGAUUUAGAACUACUUGAUGUGGUAUAUUUUAUCCCUAUCACAUCUAUUUUAGAUUUAAAUAGAAUCCUAAUCAGACUUUGAUGGGAAGUCGAUCUGGACUCUAUAUAAAGGGGUAUUGGUCCUGCCACCUUCUCAUACGCAUUCUGGUGAAGAAUUCCAUCGGUUCCACACCAUACGGUAGAGUGUCUGAGAUAGGAGGAGAAACCAAAUCACCCAAGUUCGGUUCGUGACUUUUAGAUCAUAGCCUGACUUCACGCUUCCGCAAGUUGAUCAGGAAUUUCUUCUCGAUGGCGCUCUGUGAGUUAUCUUAUAUUCUUGUUUUGAUCCUGGAUUUUGGUAUGUAUUUAUUUCUCUAUUUAUUUUACAUACCUUGAAUUUCUAUCAGAUCCUUGAUAUUCUUAGAACUUCAAGAAAAUCCUAAAAAUGAGUUUUAACCGAGUUAGAACCCUCAAAUCUCACAUUUGAGAAAACUCCAAAAAAAACCCUAAAAACACCAAUUUACGUCUUCUCUUCUAACAAGAGAAACGUGGGUGAAGUAGACCUCUUCUCCCUUUUAGAACUUCCUUUUGAAGCCUUUUAUCUUCUGGAAGCCUCCAACCAAGUGGAUCUUCAAGAUCCAACGAUAGGGAUUUUAGGACACUGUUGCUUGAGGAAGAGAGGAGAAAGAGAGAGAGGUUAGAAAGGGAAAAUAGGUUGGAAAAUUAGGGUUUGUUGUGAAAACCCUAUUUGUAGAGGUGCUAUAAUAGCACAAAAUUUCUCAACCUUUCAAAUUGCAACCAGACAAAUCAAUGCUUUUAUGCUAGGUUUGGGUCCCUCGCCCGAACUUUCGUGUGCCCGAAUCUGUCGUAGUUGUCCGGUCCAGAAUCUGGAUGCCCACUCAACCUGCCUGAUUCACGAAUUGUACGCCCGCAGGAGAAAUCGGGCGUUUGAUUCCAUAAUUCUUCACGCGAACUUGUACUCUUGGGUUGAGCAUCCAAAAAUCAUUCGGGCGCCCACAAGGGACCGCCGAAAAGUUGUUUCGGACGCCUGCAGGGCAUUUCGGACGCUUGAAAAUAAAGUCUUUCGCAUUCCAGUGCUCAGGUUGGGAGUCAGGAGGGGUUUCGAGCACUCUCGAGUGAGAUUCGAAAUGAUUUGAGUGCCCACUGGGCAAUCUGUGCGCCUAAAAUUGGGCCUCCCACCAACUCUGCUCUCUGGAAAAGCGUCUACUCAUUCCGAGCCCUGCAUCAAGCUGUUCAAAACCAUUUCAAGUGCCCAAAUCUCUGCUCCAGGCAUCCGAAAGGAUUGGUAUUCAAUUUUAUUCUAUUUCGGAACUCUGUUUCGAUACUAAUUGAUUCCAAUAUAAUCCAAACUCAGUCUAGAUUCCUUUAAGGCCACUUUAAUCAUGUCUAACAUAACUCAAUUAACACUUUGUCAUUUUAGCCAAAGUUUGGUGUAUUAGGAAAAGAGAUGUGAGAAGGGGUUGGCUGUCAAAAAGUUAUUUAUAGGCAUGCUAUAUUUGCACAUGAACCCUCCAAUUCGUCAAAUUUGCAUUUAAAAGGAUUGCUGCCUCCACACCAGGUUUCAAGCGCCCGCUUGAUCUUUCUGGCCGGCAGGUUUACUCUGGGAUCCCGAAUUGAGCAUUGGAAAAUUGAUCUAGGUGCCCACCCAACCAUCUUGUAGUAGAUUCAGAUGCCCAUAAGGCAAACUGGGCUACCGAAUAUUUAAUGAUUCGAGCGAUCCAUCCUCUCAGGUAGAUCAUCCGGAAGCAAAAUUAAUCAUCCGUGAGAUAGCCUGAAUGAUUUCGGACACCCCCAGAAAGAUGCGAAUGCCCGAAUAUUUAACAGUCUACGCACCUUUGCUCUCGGGUAUAGUGUCCGCUAAGAAACGGGUGCUCGAUUGAACGAUCCGUAAGUCUUCGAGCACCCGAAAUAUUUUUCAUGCAUCCGGAAAGACUGGAAAAUUUAUUUCCUCUUUUUUUGAAGCCCGGAGUCGGUCCUAAUUGGUUCCAACUCUCAUCUCACUCAAUCUAGACUUCUCCAAAUCUAUUUUAACCAUGUCUAGCAUGAUCUUAAACCUCAUUUUGCCUAUUAGGCCAAACUUCAGUGUAUCUUACUGAAUUUCAGUAUAUUACAUCUACAUAUUGAAAUUUUAUAAUAGUUAAAUCAAUCAACUCUUACAUCAUAUUCUUGUAUUUUUUAAAUUUUAAAUUUUAAAUUUUAAAUUAUUAUUUUUAAUUAUCUAAAUUUUAAAUUUGACAUUUUAUAUUUGUAACUUGAGAUUUGAUUUAAAAUUUAAAAUUUAAAAGUUAUAACUUUAUUUUUAAAUUUGAGAUUUAAAAAUAUAGAUUUUAAUUUUGAAUUUUUUAGUUGUAAAAGUUAUCUAUUUAAAUUUAAAAAUUUAAAUAUAAAAUAAAAAAAUUUAAAUAUAAAAUAUAAUAAUUGGGGCAAUAUUAUUAUUUUCUAUUUAUAACUAUCCACUAUUUUUCUUAUUCUAUCUUAUUUAUCCAAACGCUAUUUUUCUUAAUCCUGGAAACAACUCAAUUAUCAUCCAAACGCAAAAUUGGUCUAUUCCAGACUUAACCCUAAACUUAACCAUCUCUAAAAUAACUAGUUCUUACUUAACUCCGAACCAAACGAAGCCUUAGGGGUUAAUUUCAUACAGGUCCCUACAAAUAUAGUGAAUUGCAAAUAUAUCCCUUAUAAAGUUCAACUUUCAUAUGUUGUCACUACAAAAGUCCUGAUGUUUUCAAAUAUAAUCCUGCCGUUAGAAUCCGUUAGAAAGUUUUAGUUAACCACAUAGGUUAAAUACCGAACCCUGAUUAUUAAUAAGGUGAAUUGACCUUUUUACCAUUUUCAAUUAACAUAGAGGGAUAUAUUUGUGAUGGUAAAAAGGCUAUUUUACUUAUAAAAUAGACAGUGCCUUAACGGUAACAAACCAGAGGGACAUAUUUAAAAAUAUUAGGGAAAACUUCAAAAACCCCCCUGUGGUUUCACACUUUUUCAUUUUAGUACCCUGUGGUUUGAAGUGUAUCAAGUUAGUACCCUGUGGUUUCUCACUUUAUCACUUUAGUACCCUGUGGUUUAAAAUGUAUCAAGCUAGUACCCUGUGGUUUUGCACUUUAUCACUUUAGUACCCUGUGGUUUCACACUUUAUCACUUUAGUACCUUGUGAUUUAAAAAACUAUAGGGUACUAACUUGAUACAAAAUUAAAACCACAGGGUACUAAAGUGAUAAAGUGCAAAACCACAGGGUACUAACUUGAUACACUUUAAACCACAGGGUACUUAAGUGAUAAAGUGAGAAACCACGGGGUACUAACUUGAUACAUUUUAAACCACAGGGUAUUAAAGUGAAAAAAAUUGAAACCACAAGGGGGGUUUUUGAAGUUUUCCCAAAAUAUUAUAACUUUUGUAUAGACAACAUAUGAAAGUUGAACUUUGUAGGGAUAUAUAUUUGCAAUUUGCUAUAUUUGUAGGGACCUGUAUGAAAUUAAUCCAAAAACUAUAUAGUGUUGCUAAAAUCCUAAUAACCUUUAGAUUAACAAUUGUAAUCUUUACAUCUUCUUUUUGAUUGUAGACUUGGGAUUCAUUUGGGAUUUGCUGGGAGAUUGUAUUACGCACGGUGGAAAAGUAAAAAAAUAAAAAAUAAAAAAAUAUUUUUUUGUAUGGCAUUCUGCAUAUCAUAAUAAAUCGGGUAUGAUAUAUUUUGUGCGAUACCACCAGAGAAAGCUGAAGCAUGUCUCUAUAUUCUUUCAUUUUAUUCAUCUAUUAAUCUUAGAUGGGCCUCAACACCAAACUUAAGUAUUUCUCUUAAAUUUUUACGAUGAAAAUGUAUGAAGCCCCCUCACCUCUAGGCCAUUCUAAAAUGAGCAUCCUCUAUUCUAAUUUUUUUUUGUUUUAACAAUCGAGUAAUUUUUAUCAACUAAAUUGGAAAUUUUAUCAAAUUUGUGGCGAUUUUAGCAAAUUUAAUGGUUUUGAUCACUAUUACCCAAAUGAGACUAGAAAAGUCAACAACCCAUGGCUACCGGUCAACUUAAAACUUGAGGAGGGUGUCAAUAAAAUAAAAAGUAAAAAUUAGAAGUUGAGGGGGCCAUUUCAAAAUUAGAAUAUAUUUUCCCCCUUAAACACUAGACACUGCAAGUAAACAAGUAAAAACUCUGAUCAGUGCAAAGAUUAAGGCAACCCUCAUUGUCUCAAAGUUAGAAUAUUUUUACCCCCAUAAUUUAUGCCACCACACACUACACAAGAUUUUUUUUAAUUAAAUUUGGCAAUUUCUUUUUCCAUUUAAAUCCUAAUUCUCCCUUUCCACAUUCUGUUUCUCUCCAUUUUCUUGCUACUCUCCCUCUCUCUCUCUCAAAUUAAAAAAAAAAAAAAAAAAAAAAAAAAAAAAAAAAAAAAAAAAAAAAAAAUAAGAAUCUAUUAUAUAGAUAGAUAUUGAAGUUAUAUCUCGGAUUCCAAAAAAAGAGAAUCAUUUCUUUCAAUACUCACUUAUUAUUAGUUAACAAUCCUAAUCCUCAUAUGCUUAAUUCUGAUAGGAAAUAAAUAGUAAAAUAAUUAUUCAUCGAAUGACUAUUCAUCUAUUGUAUUUUCAUCAAAUAGGGGCAGAAAGUUCUAUGAAAAAUGGUGGUUCAAUUCGAUGUUGUCUAACGAAAGUUAGGCAAUUUUUUAUUAAAUAAAAAAUAUAAUAAUAAAAAUAAAAAAUAAAAAAACAAAAAAAACAAAUAUAAAAAGAAAAAAAUAAACACAAAUAAAAAUAGAAAAAAAAACAAAAAAAAAAAUAAAAAAAAAAAAAAAAAAAAAAAAAAAAAAAAAAAAAAAAAGAAAAAAAAAAAAAAAAAAAAAAAAUAAAAAACAAAAAAAAAAAAAAAAAACAAAAAAAACAAAAAAUAAAAUAAGAAAAUAUAGAAUAAUAAAAAUAAAUAAUAAUUAAAAAAAAUAAAAAAAAAAAAAAGAAACAAUAAAAAAAAAAAAUAAAAAAAAAAAAAAAAAAAAAAACAAAAUUUUUUUCAAUUAAAAUACAAAUUUUCAUCGAAAAGAGAAAUAGUUUAUAAAUAAAGAAUUCGUUCUCGCAUAACCUUGUAUCAUAUAAUCAAAUAAUAAGUUUAUAUUGCAACAUGGAACGAAAAAGACAAUAUACAGGAUGAGUAGAUUGGAUAGAGGGAGCCCUUACCUUAGCUUAAUCUAAGGCCUGAAACUACGAGAUAUAAAAUGAUCCACUAAUCCUAUGGAUCCUUAGGAUUAAUUAUGGAUUGGAUCCAAAAAUAAAGAAAUAUUGAGUUGUUUCGUCUUCGUUCUAUUUAGAUCUUGUAUAUACUUGUAUAUUGUAUAUACUUGUAUAUAUAGUAUAUAGGUCUGUACAUGUGAUAUGAAAGAUAUAUGCAAAUAUAUAGUAUGUUAUGUUAGUAAGCUCAUUCUUUAUUUUAUUCGGCUCAAUCCUUUUUUUUAGGAAAAGAUUGGGCCGAGUUUAAUUGCAAUCAAUUAGGAGAACAAAGAGGAAUUACUAAACUCUACACGCUUAGUUUUUAUCUUUCUAUUUCGUUUUAUCUAGCUUAUCUACCGGUUCGAAGUCGAAUUUAAUCUGUUUCCAUACUUCACAAGCAGCGGCUAGCUCAGGGCUCCAUUUGCUAGCUUCACGGAUAAUUUCAGCACCUUCACGAGCAAGAUCACGUCCUUCAUUACGAGCUUGUACACACGCUUCUAAAGCCACCCGAUUAGCUACUGCACCAGGUGCAUUUCCCCAAGGGUGCCCUAAAGUUCCUCCACCAAACUGUAGUACGGAAUCAUCUCCAAAGAUUUCGGUAAGAGCAGGCAUAUGCCAAACAUGAAUACCCCCUGAAGCCACAGGUAUAACACCUGGCAUAGAGACCCAAUCUUGAGUGAAAAAGAUACCACGACUACGGUCUUUUUCAAUAAAAUCAUCACGUAAUAAAUCAACAAAACCCAAAGUCAUCUCGCGUUCCCCUUCCAGUUUACCUACUACUGUACCAGCGUGAAUAUGAUCUCCACCAGACAUACGUAAUGCUUUAGCUAGUACACGAAAAUGCAUACCAUGAUUUUUCUGUCUAUCAAUAACUGCAUGCAUUGCGCGAUGGAUGUGAAGAAGUAGGCCAUUGUCGCGGCAAUAAUGAGCCAAACUAGUAUUUGCAGUGAAUCCCCCAGUUAAGUAAUCAUGCAUUACGAUAGGAACUCCCAAUUCUCUGGCAAAUACGGCCCUUUUGAUCAUUUCUUCACAUGUACCCGCAGUAGCAUUUAAGUAAUGUCCUUUGAUUUCACCCGUUUCGGCCUGCGCUUUAUAAAUUGCUUCGGCACAAAAUACGAAACGGUCUCUCCAACGCAUAAAUGGUUGUGAGUUCACGUUUUCAUCAUCUUUGGUAAAAUCAAGCCCACCGCGUAGACAUUCAUAAACCGCUCUACCGUAGUUCUUUGCGGAUAAUCCCAAUUUUGGUUUAAUAGUACAUCCCAAUAGAGGACGACCAUACUUGUUCAACUUAUCUCUUUCAACUUGGAUGCCAUGAGGCGGGCCUUGGAAAGUUUUUGAAUAAGAAGUGGGAAUUCGCAGAUCCUCCAGACGUAGAGCUCGUAGGGCUUUGAAACCAAAUACAUUACCUACAAUGGAAGUAAACAUGUUAGUAACGGAACCUUCUUCAAAAAGGUCUAAAGGAUAAGCUACAUAAGCAAUAUAUUGAUUUUCCUCCCCGACAACGGGCUCGAUGUGGUAGCAUCUUCCUUUGUAACGAUCAAGACUGGUAAGUCCAUCAGUCCAAACAGUUGUCCAUGUACCAGUAGAAGACUCGGCUGCUACCGCAGCCCCUGCUUCUUCAGGCGGAACUCCGGGUUGAGGAGUUACUCGGAAUGCUGCCAAGAUAUCAGUAUCUUUGGUUUCGUAUUCAGGAGUAUAAUAAGUCAAUUUGUAAUCUUUAACACCAGCUUUAAAUCCAACACUUGCUUUAGUCUCUGUUUGUGGUGACAUAAGUCCCUCCCUACAACUCAUGAAUUAAGAAUUCUCACAACAACAAGGUCUACUCGAUAUGGAUUAGGCAUGAAUGAAACCUUUAACAAAAAUCUUUCAAAAAAUAUUCAAUAUUCAAUUAAUAUUAUCAACUCAUUAAAAUGUUAUGUUAAAACGGUUUGUUAUUAGACCAUGUAUUUGAUUCACCAAAUACAUCAUUAUUGUAUACUCUUUGAUAUAUAUAGCGCAACCCAACCCAAUCCUAAUCUUUGUUUUGCAGGUUUAUAAUUGAAUUGAUCCCUUUCUUAUUUUGAAUCUAAAUAUCUAAAUACUGAGAAAAAUUCCCCCUUGACAGUAAUAUAUGUUGUAUAUGUAAAUCCUAGAUGUGAAAAUAGGCAUAAUUCAUCCACGAAAGGGUAUAAUAUAAAGACGGAAAUCUAUAUGAAAAAUCCAAAAUAAAGAACAAAGGCCAAUAAGAUCCAAAUAAUAAAUCAUAAAUCGAGUUCGGGUUCGAAUUCCAUAAGUAAUAUAAUAUGGAUCUUUUUUUAUAUAAUGAUAGAGAAAUGAAACACAUUUAUUCACGAUUUCGUCUACUUGCAAU
rnacentral:lncRNA from 1 species